GGACACCCGGAUUUGUUCUAGUAGGGGUCCCUGCGGCUUCAGGACUUCGCGGAGCCAGUGCGGCCUGGGCCGCGCCCGCGCCCGCCUCCCCGCUGGCUCCUCAAACCCUAAGGCAGUUCUUUGCUGAGGUUGCCAGGGGCCAAACAGGACCUUCAUUUUCAAAGUUGGUGGGGAUAAACCCAGCAUAACUGGAGCAGGUGACCAGCUCCAAGGCGCGGAAAGAAGAUGAACAAAUUAGGCAAUUCCAGUAUUAUCGGAGACAGCAUUAUGACCCUUUUUGCUGUAAAAUGAACAUAAAUGUAGCUACAGAUUGAAUGAAGUUAUAGGCCAUAAAAGGGCAGGAGAGAAAAAGGAAGAGAUAAUAGGCACUGUCCAUUUGAGCCCGUUACACUUACUGUUUCAAAUCUAUUCAGACAGUGUUAGUGGCAAAUACAUAGUUUACCGGCAAUAAUAAAUGAGGGACGGAGUGAAGAUAAAUACCACGGAGCGCUGCAGUGCAUUUAGAGUAGUGACAAUUGCUGUUUAUUUGCUUUUCAUUUGUGAAAAUUACACAGGCCAAGGUUAUAUGUGAGACACAUCGUUAUAUUGUUCUUUCUCAUAUUUUGGGGAGUCAGGGGGAGUGGAAACAUUCCAGUUUAUUUUCUUUAUCUAGAUAAACUAAAAAAAAAAUCAAUAAACCUUUUUUAGUAUGGAUUUCUGUCUUCUAUUAAACACUCAAGCAAAACAAAUUGUACAUUUUUUUGGCAUUUAUAGCCAAUCUGUUUGCCUUCAUUAAGCCUACCCCAUAUAAUCAUUAAAUGCUGCCUAAAAGUUUAAAAUGUUUCGCAUAUAUGAACUUUAACUCAGCCACGGAAUAAUGUAUUUCUUUAUACACUUGAGCAGUUACCCAUUGAAGAUUUCAGGCACAUCGUUCACUUGAUGGAAAAUUAAAGAAAUUUAUUUUGUGUUUUUAAGUAGAAGCUCCUUAAGGGCAGAACUGGGGAUUUCUCCAUAGUCUGGAAACUACCAGCCUCACAAUUAGUCUCAAGAGUGAAAGAACUUCGGGCCUUUAAUUAGAAGAUGUAAUUAUUUGAUGUGGUGACAAAAGUAUAUACAGCCACCUGUGGUGUUCUGAGAGGGACAGGGUGGGCUUUUGAAUCCCAGCUCUGCCCCUCAUUAGCUGUGUGAUCAUAGGCGAGUUACAGACACCUCUGAGCGUCCACCAUUGGUUAUUGUAUGCAAAACAGAUGUAACAGCGGCAUCCUCACUGGGCUGUGAUCAUGACUCAUACAAGAUUCCAGAGUGUCCUCCCUUUAAUGCUGAAUGAAGCUCAGAGAAACCAAGUACUAAAAGAAGAUACACAAUAUGUCCAAGAACGCUCGUGAAAGUGUUUUUCAACUGGAAGAAAACUUAAAGAUUAUAUUGUUUGAUACUUUUACUCUUUCCUCAACCAUUUAUGUAUGCAUGUACAUAUUUAUGUAUGUAUAUAUGUAUGUAUGUGCUUAUCUAUUAUUCUAUUAUUUUUAACCAAAUAAGAGGCUCAGAAAGGAAAGUGAUCAGUAAAGGCCAUAUCAGGACUUGCUGGCAAGAACUUGGACUAGAAGACUGUUCUCCCCGUCGCACAUUAUAGAGCCUGGAAAUGGUAUUGUUUCUGUGAUACACGAACCCAGUAGUAGCUUUUCCAUUUGGCUCAGCCAAACCAGUUCACGCACAUUACAUAGGAACUGGACCUGUCUGAGAAUGCCCUAUAUGGAUAGGUCUGGAAGAUUUAGGGGAGACAACACAUGUGUCUAUGAUGGCAAAAACCACUGAAAACAUACAGCCUACUUUUUACCUUUAUCUUAGUGUAUCACUUUCCUCUUUUUAUGAAAGAAUCUUUCUAGAUACCACUGCUUGCGGUUCUCACAACUAUGAAAAAGAUAUGCAUUCUCCCAUUUCUUCUCCCACCUUUGAUGAGGAAAGGGAGAGCUGUUUAAGUUUAUAAACUGAAUUGGAGACAGAACCAAGGUUUGAACCUAAACGUUUCAAGUCAUAGCCUGCUGUCCUUCAUUCUGCUGUCAUCCCCUCAUGUGUGUGGGAUAUCACAUAAAGAACCUAGAAAACAAAAAAAUAAUUGUGUUUCUGUAGAAAUGUUAACCAUUGUCCUAAUAAAAUACUUUUCAACGGAGGAAAUGAAAAUAUUUUUUGAACUUGCAAUGUGUAGGCCCCGGUGGCUAUGCUUUAUAGGUCAGGGAAGUUAGAGAAGGCCCUUUUAUUGUGUUCUUUUUCCAUGCCGAGACUCAAGCCUAAACAGUUAGCCUAUCUUUCUUUAGUGAUCCUGUUUUUGUUGGCUAAUUGAGUUUCAUUUUUGAUUUUAUUCGAUAUGUCAGUAGCUUUUUAUGCAAACAACAGCAACAAAAUCAAACACAGAAAUAUAGUAUGUGAAUACCGGAUAAACAUGGUUGAGAGUUUGAGGUAUCUUUCCAAACUUUUUAUGUAAUAUAAAAGUACAUUAUCUAAACAUGUCAUA